UUUGGCGGGAGCUCCUUACAUCUGGCCUGCUGGAGAAUGGUCUAAGGGACAAUGGGGGUGUAUCUUUCUAUUGCUAUGAAGGUAAUUAAAAGUAUGAAAGGGGUCUCAUCCUGUAUGCAGCGGGAGCUUUGAGAAGUCUUAAACCCAUUCAAGAGCCUGGGAAAUGCGCUCAGGGGUUAAUGUCACUAACAGAUUGCCUCAGUGAAAGAAGAAUAUGGAAGGAUCCUCACGUCCCUUUGUGCGCCAAUUGUUCGUAUCCACUCCCAGUGUGACUUCACCUCAAUGAAGAAGUAAACGAGGGAACUUGGUUAGACUUUGUUUGUAUGAUGGCGCCGAAACCUGAAGGCUCUCAGCCAAAGUUUCAUUAGGAUUUUUUAAAACGUCAGCCCAUGUCUCCCUCUCACUCCCUCUGGUAAAAUACUCAGCCUAAAUUAUUGUUAAAUUCUUGAUCAACAGUUUGUCAGGUGCUCUCUUUUCUCAGCCCCCUCCAUCCUCCCUGUCUCUGUUUAUCCCUGUGCGUAAAUUACCUUCCCGGUGAGAGGGGUCCGGAACUAAGAGCUGUGUCUCCGUGUUGGUCGGCGUGGCGCUGGCCGUGUGUCAGACACUUGCAGUCAGAGGGCCCCUUUGCUCGGGAUUAUGUUUCAGCCCGGUCAAAACCCCUUAACAUUUAAUACUCCAGCGGCGCGUCGCGGGUGCGCAUGGCAGCCACAGGCCAAACAUAAGUCAGUUUUGAAGUGUUUCAGCCCUGCUAGACUACUCGUAUACACAAACAAUUUCACAGAAUCAUUUCACGUUUCUUGGCGUGCGUAAAAGUUAUGUGAGUAAGACCUGGAGCGCAAAACCCUGGAGACAUCCCCUCUACUGACCCUAUAUUGUUGUGAUGUCGUGUUAAGACAGAAAAUAUUUUUAAUAAACUCAAAUAAAAGGAGGAUAAAGGAAAUUGAUGUAAAUACUUUGGUUAGAGGUCGGGAUUGAAAUGAAAAGGCAACAAGCAUUUGCAGCAUCUAGAGAAGACAUAUCACAAUAAAAAUAAAUGCUCUCUAACGUAGCCCCUGUGAAUCUCCACGUAUUUAUCACUGGCAGCUUUCACAUCCUGUCGUAAUUAUUUUCAUCGAACAGUUGAACUGCCUUGUCAAAUCAUGUAGUUGCGUUCUUGCUUUUACCCAGCUGCGUGCCAGUGCCCUGCAGAUGACACCGUGGGUAAAUGGCAUAGUGAAACCCUGCUGCCACUGGUGCUGGAGCAGCUUCCUUUUGCGAUCAGGCAAACUGAAACACCAGUUGGCAGCGUGUGUGGCUUCUGUGGUCGUUUCUACUGCCUUCGUGUCUGAGUUAAUAGUUCAGAGAUGCCUUUGUGGAGCUGAGGUCGUGAGAACCGAGCGAACUAGUCUGCCUGCGGUCGGGCACUGCGCCAGUCAGUAAAUCCCCGCUGGCAGGCGGAGGUGAGGAGGCGAACACACACACGCGUGGCCGCCAAGAAGCGAACUCUUUUCGGUGUAAACAUGAGGGAUCCUGGGGGGACUCGGAUAAAACACCAAACACUCAAGGAGAUGACUGAGAUAUUUCUAAUUUUAUUAAGAAUUAUUUUAUCAGGAUUUAGGCACGACCACGUGAAAGCUGCUGCGCAAUCCCCGUGGUCAUGGACAUACAGGGCAGUAUGAGGUGACGCACAGAAACCAGCAGCUCACCCUUUUGCACUUUUACGCAUCAGCAUGAGCAAGGGUCAUAGUAUCACUGGGUUUACAGCAAGCUGACCGAAUAUCCAGAUGUGGGUUGGCUGAAUUCUGACUUCUAAAUUUAUUCUUUGCUCAGGGUUUUUAAUAUCUGCCUUCAUCAUCUCGAUAACAUGCAGCAAUCGAAUCAGGCGGGAAUCCCUGUUCGGUGAUGAAAAGGAUUCCUAUAGAUGGCAAGAUGUCCCUCGGGGACUUGCGCCAUUACGUCCCCUGGGAGAAGUCGCCAUUGAAGGAGGGGUAGGGGUCAUCAGAGGAGCCACAAAUUAUCAUUCUCAUUAGCGACUGAAUAGAGGAACGCGCGCACCACGUUGCCGCCAAACCUUUAACAUCACAUCUCCCUCCAAAUUUACAACUGCUAUUGUUGCACUGGGCCUUGUUUUGCCAGCAUUAUAUAAUUCUUAUGCGGCUCCAACAAGGACAUCUGUAUAAGUUUCUGAAAUAAGGAAAUGUAAGAAGUAAUACGCACAACAUGCUUAGUUUUUUCAUAUGCCAGCCAGGCUUUGGUUGAUCUUUACUGAAGUGAAAUAAGGAACUAAUGCAAUUGCUCUGCGUCAUCUGUUUCAGUCAGGUUUAAUGUUAAAAAAUGAUUAUCUCCACAACUUUCGGUUGACAGAUCUUUAACAGCUACCAUACAUUAAAAAGUUCCAGUCACCAAUUUUAUUAUCUUUCCAGGCAAAAGGUUUUUCUCAUUGUUGGUAAAAUUAGCUCAUUUUCAUAUCUUUAUCUGGAUGGUGUGAUUGUUAGAUGCCAGAAAACACUUUUUACAACCAAAGUAAUCAUGUAAUUUUAUCUGAUUAUUUCCAAAUAAUCAGUAAAAAAAUAAGACAGAGAUUAUAUCUUUCAAUCAAUCAACAAGUCAUUAUAUGGACACAUACAGAAGCAGCUACACUGGCAGCUAGUCCUCCAAGUCUGUAUUUAAGUGUAGAAAGGAGGCUUGGAUUGUUUGAGAGCUCCUCUGUCUGUGAUGACAGGCUAUAUUUGCCCCUCAAUCUGAAGAGGCUGCAGCUACAGGGACAGAGUGACAUUUUCUGCAUGCUUUAGCCACAGGUUCUGAUAUUAGAUGAGAGGCAGGGCUAGAGUAUGCAACAAACAUUAAGUGUGUGACAGUUUGUGAGUGACUGCCUAAACUGGACACUUCUCCUUGCACCUGUUUUUUUAAGAAUCGCAGAGGGCGAUAGGGAGAGGCAGCUAAGGAUGACAUGAUACACAGGAGGUGUUGAGACUAAGGAAAGAUGUUAGAGAUGUUUCUCUGGAGUGUGGGAUUUAACUGUGAUUAUUUUAGGCUUUGGUUUUCAGAGAGGAAAUCAUGUUAGCAGCAACAAUACAAACUUAUUUAAUUUUCCUUAGUGUCAUAGCACAUCAGAUUCACUGGCACCUUGUUAACAGGUUUUCAUUUCUAUGUUUGAACACUCUCACUCUUCUGGCCCACUCCAGGCUUCCAUCCUGUCUCAGUAUUUAUAGUAAGAGAGCACUUAUUCCCUGCCGGGUGUGAGGUGUUGGGUGUGUGCAGGUGAGGCAGGGUGGGCAGACGCCACGGGACACAUCAAAUGGGAUCAAAUAUCACAGGGUCUGGGUGCUGUGAGGGCUCCCCCUGAUCCUCACCGCUUGUUUGCCAUAUAUUUCUGUAGCCAAGUUUGGCUUUUCAGCAGCUUCUCCUGUUUCAAGGCAUGAGGCAUGAGGCCUAAGGUCUUUGCAACUGGUGCAGAUUCCACAGGAGAAAGUUAAGGGUCCUCUUGACAGGGCGAGAGGUCAUCUUGCAGACUUCUUGGUGGCCUUAAAGAAGUCCUGACCCUAAUGAAGACAGUUUUUAUUUAUGUAUUUAUCUGCUCAGGACUUGUCCCUGCUUUUCCCCCUGCAGCUCUGGCAGCUGUUGCUCUAUUUCACCUCUCGUCCUUUCCAAGAUAAAUACUUUAAUAAUGGUUUCCUAAUGUUGGAAAUGUAAAACAGCUCAGAGAUGCAAUGAUGUAGCUGCUUUUAUGUGGGACAAAAUCAGUGUUAAGAAAGUAUAAGCAGUCCAUCAGAUAAAUGUGUGAUUGGGCAAUGUUAAAGAUCUUGCCUAAAAUUUAAACUUGACCUAACACAGAGCCAUGUAACAAUAAAGAACAUAUUUUGUGAAGCAAACAAUAUACAAAUUUAAAAGGGUCAAAGAAAAAGCCUUGAAGGGUUUAUUAUCAAUCCACAUAUGAGAAAGUUAGUCAUUUGAUAACAGUAAACUGGGGAUUAGAUUAACAAAACACAACCACAUAAACCCUCUGCCUGAGAAGUACAAGACACAGGACAAGAGACAGGCCCCACUCCACAUGCCCCCACUUUUAAGGUCAGCACUGGACCUUUUGUGCACAUAGGACCAGGUGCAGCUCAUUGAGUGGACACAUCACUUGCAGAGUGUCAGACAACACAGAGGUAAACGGAACCCCUGGAAGAGGGCAAAGAUACAAAUGUAACAACUGUCUGAAUCAUUAGGAUGGUGCAUGUACCAUCUAUCUAUGAAUACAGAGGUCUAAAUGUAGAUUAUAUACACUCAGAUAUAUACAUUAGACUUAACAAUGUGUUUGCACGGUUAAGGAUUUUAUGUGAUGACCAUAGAAAUGUUUUGUUGCCGUUAAACUGUGUCUGAGAUGACAGAUUAAAAAAAAAAAAUUAUAGGAUAAGUCAUAUAGUAUGGAGUGCAUUGUCAAGUUUUAAUAUCCAUAAUAUCAAAAAGAUAAGCAAAUUUUAUCACCGAAGUGUGUGUGUGUGUGUGUGUGUGUGUGUGUGUGUGUGUGUGUGUGUGUGUGUGUGUGUGUGUCUGAGAGUGACUGGCUGUCUGUCUCACUACAUGCCCAGACUUGUCCCCACUUUGACACCUGAGAACAUCAUGAGCAUUGAUCUGACUCAUACCCUUUCAAGAUGCCAUUUUUAAGAUGCCACUUUGUUUCUUGUUUCUAUCACUAUUGUUUUCUGUUUCUGUUCAUCUUUCAUGUGUGUGUAUGUGUGUUAACAUGUUUGCAUUGUGAGGUUAGACAGCAGUGUGAGAAACACCCUCUGACCCAUUUCACUGACAGAUGCAACAAGAUUAAAGUUUUUUAUUUAUUUACUUAUUUUAAAAUUCAGACUAAAGGCCACCGUUGUUUGCUUUAUAAUGUUCAAUAAGAGACAUGUUGAGAACAUCAAACACAGUGGUCCCUAAAGAGAAAGCAGCUGCCCACUGGUGGCCCCUGACAGUACUGUGGCUUGGCAGUAAGAGCUACUUAAUAAAUAUGAACGUUUUAACUUCUAAUAUCCAAAUAAUUUGAUUGCAAUGAGAUUGCCAUUUUAGUGCUUCUUUGGAAUUGUUGGGUGUAUGUGAAUGGAUAUGUCUUAGUGCUGCAUGUAUAUUUCUGCAUAAAAUUUAACAGUGUAUUAAACGAAAUAAAUAAAUAAAUAAAUGGAGUACAUCUUCUUGAGUGUUGAUCAGAGCUUUUUGUUGUAAGUUUUCUAGAAUAUUUUUAGAUUUCAAAUAAUGCUGGGUCAUUCUCAUAACUCUUUCAAAGAGUUAUAUAAUAGUCUGAUUGACAGCUUGGAUUCAAAUUUCACUGGAAAAUGAAACGUCCACAUCAAUCAUGAAUAUGAGCUUCUGAAUAUUUAAUCAGGUAUACACAAUGAAAUCUAGUGUGUCUGUGUUUCUGUCUACCUGCCCACCUGCAGGUCUGUCUGGCUCGCUGUCUAUGAGGCAGAAAAAAAAGGAAAAAAGUGUCCCUGAUCCUGGCCACUAGGGGGGACAUGAAGGUCAGCCUGGUUUACCCUCUUUCAAAACCAAAUUUAAGCUCAAACGCUUACUUAUUUCCCAUUAAGGCAAGAAAGCAAUAAAAAAAGCUGUUAAGUCUUUUCUUGUAGUGUAAUUUUUAAAAAUCUGAAUUAUUUAGUCUAUCACGACCCUACUUGCUUGGCUAAUUGUGUAUUUACGUAGUUGAUGUAUAAGGUUCAAGGCAUGUGCUUUUAUUUUGAAGGACAUUUCACGUGCAGUAAAACGGAAAUCGUGCUAUACCGAAGGGAGUCGUUAAUUUAUGGCCUGAAAAAAGGAAAACAAUGUUGUUUUAUAUGAAACAGUUUACACAGUGUCAUUCGUGCAAACGUAUGUUACAUUUUCUAGUCUUGCCUAAUAAGAUGGUAAGACUCUGCAUGCCAGCAAAGAUGCUGUGUUGUUUAGUUCGAGAUUUAAUGUAGGCCUACGGUAUUUGGCGUGUUAAUGUUCCACUUGUCAGUACGAUCCCUUUCAUACAGUAACAGGAUGGUUGGAGCUACAGUGCUUAUCUGUCACCUACUGUGUGUUAAGUUAUGUUUAAUGUUAAUUCUGAAUUAAAUGUUAAUUUAGAUCCUCCCUGCAGCACUACUUCGGCUUGUCAGUUGAUCUAGGUUGUGGAAAAAUGUAACACCUGUUUUAUUCCCUUUUAUUUGUUCUUUCAGGGUGUUCAGAGCAUGUCUUGAAACUUUUGAAGUCAUAGUUUCUAUGAUUUAUUACUCGAAGACAGCCUGCUCCAUACUCUGAGGAGCCACUUUUCAAGCCCACUAAAGGUAAGUUUUCUGACUCAUCAGUUUUUAAUGUAGACUCUCUGUUUUACAGAACAAACAGGACCCUUUAAUACACCAGAUGAUCCAUAAUGUUUGUGGUCAAGCCUGAAAAUCACUUCUUUGAUGGAGCAAAUGCUAUGUAUCCCAAACAGAAAAGGCCAUUUUAAUGCACCACGGCCUCUCUAACUCUGACAGUGAAGCUAACAAAGAUAAAACUAUAAAAUAUCAGAUCUCUACUUUCUGAAGAGGGGUAUGCUAUGCUGCCUUUCAUGAAUCACUCAUUCUACAGAUAUGCCUGACAAUAAUUUACUAUAUCUGAGCCUUGGGUUGUAUUCAGAGGCUGGUUUUGUCAUCAUUUGCAUUUUAACAUCUGUCAAAAUGAUUUAAAAUACCAUUUUGUUGUAACUGGAACAUAACCUGCAACUUCAAUUUCCCUUUGGCUUUCUAAUGCUUCCAGUCACUUUCUCUAUACAGUACAAAAACUGCAAAGCUCGCGUUCUGCAUGUUCCCUGCAGAUUAUUACCAGAAGAUGAAGGAAACUGUUUUAUUUUUAGCAAAUGAAAUCCUAGCACAUUUGACAGAAGGAUAUUCCACUUCAAGAGGUGUUGAAAAGCUGUAUUUCCUGAGCAGCUAUCCCACAGUACUGAGACCUGUGGUCCUCUUUGGACUCUGGCUAAGCUAGGUGGUGACAGCGGCACUGUUGUAAGAGAAUUAUCACUUCAGUCCUGAAGGGAGGGGGGUGUUGUUGACCGAACAGGAUGUCCUGGUGUCUGGUCCCUUCUCAUACGGGCUAUUCUUUCUGUGUCUGUGUCUGUGGACAUUGGGGAAAAUCCUUCAAACAGAUGUGACCACGACUUGAAAAGAUUCCAUCCCUUUUUUAAUGUUGGGAUCUUCCUGAACCUUACAUUUUGCUAGAACAACUUUUCCCCUUCUAAAAAUGGAGUUUGCCAACACAUGUAUUAUGACAGAAAAUGCUCGACAGACACUAGAAAUGCAUUUGGGUGAUUGGUGCAUGUCGCUUUGUCUUUGCACUGCGUGUGGUAGAGAGCUGGAGUUAUGAGAUGAGCUCUUCUCUCUUUUUUUCUUUUUCUUUCUUCUGCCCUCUCUGCCUCUUUUCAUGCCCUGGGAAGGUAAACACUCAUCCUAUUUGCUCUUGUUUUUCUUAUAGUAACUGUUGAGCAGUGUGUGCUCCACUCAUGGUUUUAUUGCCUGGAUUGUCAUGCAAGAGGCAGGGGAGACAAGUGUCAAUAAGUGGAUGGGCUCAUUCCAAACAAACGCGCCCGGAGAAUGGGCAAAGAGAGCCCAGGAUGCAGCUGGGUACACACACACAGGCACACACACAGACACACACAAACACUCAGAGACUUGCAACAAAUUGUUCCUUUAUGUCUACACCCUGGAGACAUUAGUCCAACAUGACUAACACAAGAUACAGUAUCUGUACAGCUGAAGUAGCAAUAAAUUCCAUUUUAAAACACCUCUGGGACAAAAUGCUCUGCUAAAUUGUCUUACCAGUUGAACCUUUCACUAAGAAAGGAUCUAUCACAGUUCAGGUCUUUAAAGUAACAGGACCUAAAUCUGCUUACACUGCAGAGACACCUGAACUCUUUCAGUGCCCGUUUUUCAGCCAGCUGUACAAAAUGAAAACCACAGCUGCUGUGGGGAACGUUUGGUUUGUGUUGACUUUAUUGAGCCUAGAAAGUGCAGUGUGUCAUUCUCUGCGGGUCUUGACCUCUAUAUGCAUGAGUGUUCCUGUGGAAAAGUAUCUUCCUACUUUUAUACAGUCAAAAGUAACAGCUACUGUAGGGGCUGGAAAACACUGUGUGACUCCCAAUACAGUAUGACAUAAUUCUACACGACACAGUAAUGAUAAGACCCUUGUACAAUAGCAGUGCAAUAAUCAGCACACUGUCGUCAAUUAUAUCAUGAUCUCAAUGAGGUUUUCCUAGUUAGAUAAGAUGUGAUUAAAAUAUGUUGCAGGACAGUCUUGCAGCGAUAUUUGCUAAUGUACGAUUAUCUGAAGAACAUGCAUGCUUCCUGUGCUCUCUCCCUAUUUCUUGUUCCCACGCUCUCUGAAUAAAAGUGUUUAAGCCUCAAAAACAUUCAUAAAAAAGUUACAUUUCAACUAGAGACACACCUUUGUGUUUGACAGGCAAAAUCAACAUCUGUUUGUAUACAUGUUCACAUUUUGUGCUUAAACUUACAUAAUUAAAAAACCUGUUUUGACAUUAAUACUCAUCACUGUCUGUGACUUCCAUUGAGUCUUUCUCAGUCAUCUUCCAGGUUUUUUCUUCUGUGAAAUUCUGACAUAUAAGUCUUGUGCAUCAAUGAGUUUGUAGCAUGUAGAAAUGCAUUUCCCGUGCUGCAACAAUAUCCCACCCCUACUUUCCAUGAAUCUUGAAAAUGUAAAUGAACGCUGUUUCAGCAGCAUGCAUUCACUUCCGCAUCGAACACCUUUACCUGCUGUGGAUUUUACAGGCAGUCACAUAAGCCAUGUAGUAACAAUGAAUAUUCAAGCCGAUGAUCUCUUCUGCUUUUAUAGGUCAUGUUUAGUUCCAUGCUUUUUAUAACCAGCUAAAAACUCCUCACUUGAUCUUUUUUAAAAGUUUUAAAGUCUGAUCACGCAAUCUUCAGGAAUUUUUCUGCUUUUUUAACUGAACUAUUAGAAAAUUUAUAUGAAAGGGGGACAGACCUAGUAAGUGAAGAUUCUUAACCAGUAAGCAUGAGACUGAGACAAAGAAUACAAUAAAGCAAUCUUAACAUAAAGGGCACGUCAAAGGUGUACCUGUCAGACGAAAACCUUAUUUAAAGCAUCAAUGAGUAAAAAACAGAUAAGGAAAAUGAAGUGUUUGUAAUCCAUGUUGAUUUUAAGAAAAAUGCUGUAAAGAAAGCAUUAGUCAGUUUAAAAUAUACAACUGAUAUACCAGGAAAUUUGAAGACACAUAAUCCAUCAACACUUCCCAAUUCUCCUGCACACAUCUCUCAUCCCUCUGGCAUAUUCUUAUCUUAAUGACAAACAGCCUUUUGGUGCAACUACACAAAGGACUGACAGGAGGUAAACACUGACUGAAGCUGCCUUGUGGCUCAGUUUGUGUCUCUCUUUCUCUUCUUAGAUGGAUCACCCGUCCCACACGACCCACUCACCUCCAGCCGUGUUCUGCUCUCCAAAGUAGAGAGUGGGCCUCAUGAUAAAUACAUGGCAAUGUUGAUAAGAUUAGGACAGGACAAACACACACGAGGGGCACCCUGUAGCAUGUUAUUCUUGUAAUUCAGCUCUCCUCUUGUGAGCGUGUGGAUGUGUGACUCCCACUGAUGCCCUCUGUCUCUGUCUCUUCCUGUUCUUUACUGUAUUUUAUUUGUUUAGGGGUGAUGUUGCAUUUGUUCUCUAGUUUCAAUGCCAUUGACGUAUUGAAAGAGUUAACAGGAUGGUGAAGUGGAUAAAUUAGGUCUUUAUCUCGGUCCUCUUCCCUAAUGUAAUCAAGCUCAAUAAAACUCAAAAAUAGAAAUGUGUUUGUCAAAAAGCAGCGUUCCUGUCACUGAGUCUUGCUUUAAAGACUGACACAAACACGACAGGUUGUAAGUGGAAAAAUGUAUCCAUAAAUGCAAAUUAUUAGCAAAUUUAUUGCUACAUGCAAAUUCCUUCACAUGUACCAGUGUAAAUGUUGUAGCAGCAGUUACCUCCAAAGUAUAUAUCUCUGUGCAUGGAUCAUGCUACAGCUGAUGUUAGGUUAACCUUUGAUGCUUAGGUGACUGAAUUAACCACAUGGUUCCUUGUGAGAAAUGUCACAUUUUCUGUCAUAAAAAAACUCUUGUAGGUGCAUCAGUGAGACUUCUAACCACUGUGAGGUCUGGAAACAAUCUGAUAGGAGUGUUGACGUCUGUGUGAGUCAAUGCGUGUGUGUUUGUUCCUGUGUCAUUUGCCCGGCCUACCCCCUGCUGUGUUGCCCUGCGUUGACUGACAGCACCACUGCGGCUGUACAAUAGGUGAUCUUUGCUCUGUGUCUGACUGUAUAAACACAGAGCGGGAUGGCUCCCUCAAGCAGAACUCCAGUAUUGAUCACUUUGGUGAGAUCCCACAGCCACGCUCAUUGUCCUUUGGCCCUUUCUCUCCUGCCAAUCAAUAGCUCUUUGUGUUGAUUUUCACCCAUUGACAAAUCACUCUGCCCCAUUGCCUUUGUUAAGCUGUCAAUCAAGCGGAAGGUAUCGCCUUAUUUGAUCCUCAUUCAGACCAGGGUUUUAUAUUUCAAAUGAAAGCGGGUACACUCAGUACCACACAACAAAUCUUACAUCGAUGUGAAGAGCAGCAAUGAUCAAAUGAGUGUCCUUUUUGAAAACAGCACUUGACAUGUGGCACAAGAUUCAACUCUGAUGAGGAUGAACGGUUAGCAUUAUUUUUCAAGUCAUCAGUCAGACAUUUUUGACACUGGUUUGGUGGCAUUUUUAAGAAAGAAAAGAAUAUAUUUACUUUCCUGCUAAAAACCAAAAAAUCUCCACAAAGCUAACUGCAAAUUAAUAGCUUGUAUUAUUAACUGUCAUCCUUUGGGUCCAACAAAGCCCGUCUCAUCAAGCUGUCAGCAGAUAAAAGUCGUGCGAGUCAUUAAACCUCAUUGUUUAAAUGAGAUCUGUGAUCCUGAGAAUGUGAGCUGAGUCCUGCUGAGUCAGCUGACUGUGAUUAAGACGACCUGACGGAGAGGAACAGAGAGAGAGACGUGAUCAGCAGCUGUCACACACUGACAUUAGCACAUACCUAAGCCUUAUAGAUUCACGGUGCACAGUUAAGUAAGUCUGAUGGAGUUUAUAAUUCCCCUUUAUCAUGUGCUAGUUACCCUUAAUAAAUACAGUGUCAUUUUUUUUUUAAACUGUGAAAACUGUGUUUCCUCUGCAGGGAAAUAUUUCAGUGCUUUACAGGAUAACAAACCUUUGCCUUUGUGAAACAGAUUUCAAAAUUUCGUAGACCGAAUGCAAAGCACAUUCUUGUUUUAACAUAGAUGUAGAAGCCUUGUGUCUGGGUAUGAGUUUUGUUUUCAGUAAUGUUUUUUUAAGGACAAGUAACUACCUCUUAUAUAUUGUCAUCCAGCCAAAUAUUUGUACGUCUGCUAGUUUUAUUCUGGUUUUGGAAUGAAACGGAUGGAGUUCAAAUCUUAAGCCUUUGAGAUUAGAUAUAGAGAUGCAUUUUUCAGGAGUUUUUGGGUGUUCAAAUCUGUAUAGAUGCCACCCAUUGGUAUCUGCAGAAGAGUUUUGAAGCCUGUUGAUGGGGGAUGUAGUGCUGAAAUACUGAUUAAACCUAAACUAAAGGUGAUUAGGGUUAACUGAGGUGGGCCUAAAGCCUCUUGCUUACAGCUACAGUGUGCCUACCCAUCAGUUGACUUUUUCAUAUUUAACUGAGACUUGGAUCUUUCUCUAAUGUCAACCAAGUGCUGUACAUAACCAUUCUCAGGAAAGAAAGAAAUAGAUUUUAUUUUAAUAACAUUGUUUGAUAAUGUAAUGGAAUUAAACCCACGCCCAGCCAAAAAAUAAGUCACACACUUAAAUAUUUCAUUCCAGAGUCCGACCAGUGCACUGCAUUGGAGAGUCUUCUCCUGCACGUCCAAAGGUUUCUCAGUGGGGUUAGGGUCUGGACUUUUGUGGUGGCCAAUCCAUGUGUGAGAAUGAUGUCCCAUGCUCCCAAAACCACUCUUUCACAAUCACAUCCUGAUGAAUCCUGGUAUAACCAUCUGUCAUACCCACAUCAUAGGCACUAGGCAUGAUGGGUGCAUCACUUCAUCCAUCGCUCUCCUCACUCUGAUACACCCAUCGCUCUGGAAUGGAGUAAAUCUGGACUCAUCAGACCACACGACCUUCUUCCAUUGCUACAGAGUCCAGUCUUUAUGCUCUGAAGAGUAAUUACCCAUGCAGUUAUCAUUCAAUGGGAGGGGUUCUUUCAUAUUUGCUUAGUUCAAUCUAGGUGGUGACAUUUUUGGCCAGUGUAUUUAUUCUGUUAAAAACCAGACAGGUCACACACCAAAAUCCUGCAUCGAUCAGCUAUAAUGCACUAAAUGCAAUGCAGUUAAAACAAAAUUAAGGAGAUCUUUUUUCAUCCUUUUACUAUUCUGUGCCUUUUGGCUCACUGUAGUUGAGGUGCAACAGUUUCUUACUAAUACUUGCUGAAGUCAUGGUGGAAAAUUACGACACCAUUGCUAAAUCGCAUACCUUACUAAUUUUCAGACGGCUCAGUUGAUGGGUCAAAAUUAAAAUGCACUUUAUUUCAAAUGAUAUCAAAAGAUCACCUAAUUAACAAUUACACCUCCAAAACCUGUGCAGGCAAAGCUUUAAUAUAACAUUUAUGAUAUCAGUCUACAGCUUCCCCAAGAUUCAUUUAUCAUUGUCUAAUUUCUGGGUUCUUGUGACUCUGGCCCUUGCUUUAUACACCACAUAAACUCUGACAAGCUGACUCAUGAAUAAGACACCUGCUGGAUAUCAGCCUCCUCUAUUGUGACAUUGUUUCUGUUAACCAGAGCAAAGUUUGAUUGGAAGUUUGACCUUUUUGUUGAAGUAGCCAGCGUCUAUGAAAUAAUAACCUACUGCUGUCAUUGUUUUUCAUUCCUUUAUCAUCUUCUGUCUGUAGGUCUGUCUGUCUGUCUAUGGAUACUUCUGUGAACGCAGCUUGGUUUCCACGUAUGUGUUUAUCCCAUGGUGCAGCCCAUUCUUUCAAACAUGGCCUGUUGCCAUGAGUCAGUGGCGAUGGUCAGAGGUUUACACUCCUAGACACAACAGUCUAUCCGAGAAAAACAACUCUCUGAUGCCUCGGUCUUCCUAUAUUGUCUGGUCUGAUUCCGAGUUGGAGAGAAGCUUAUUGUUUGGAUGUCUUUGUAGUGCAGGUCCAUUGCUGCGGAAUGUGGGGAUUUCCUCCCUCGCGGGUAUUUUUAGAUCUCUGUGUGAAUUCAAGAGAGCUCUGCAUAAUACUGUGCAGUGUGGGGUCCAAGGGUGGGGUCUGUAUGCUCGUGCACAUGUGUGGGAAUCUGAGUCUGCUCAUUACAGGAAGGAUGUGUGUGUGGGGUCAUAUUUAUGUCAUAUUAAACCAGGAUCAGGACCCUUCAGUGAAAGGCUUCAAUAAGAAGAUGCUGGAGUAUCAUACUACAGUCCAGGUUGAUUUAGGCGUGUGCUCAGCCUCUAUUUGAUUUGAAAUUUCAUGGUGUAUUAAACUUCUCUUUUUGGUUUGACAGCCCCAGAUUUGUGUGUCAGCGAAGAAGUGGUCUGGUCUGGACACCGUGUGCUAACGCAUUUUGAAAGGGCUUCAGAAGGUCCCUCAGGGGUCUCUGACCUCCCAGGGUAAUGUUCUCCUCCAGGUCUCUCUUUUUGACAGCGGUCAAAGGAGGCGUCCAUGCACGGAGCAGGCGGGCGGAUGACUGGGGUGAAUCAGGGGAAUAGACAGGUCAUAUCCAGAAGGACCUGUCACUUCCGAAUCAAACGGAGUAUCAUCUCCUUCCGGGUCUCACUCAAAACCUGUCACCUAAGCUGACAUGGAGUGACACAUCGGCUUGACCCGUCUUAUAUUUAUGGUUGUGUGUGUGUGUGUGUGUGUGUGUGUGUGUGUGUGUGUGUGCGUGCGUGCGUGUGUGCGUGCGUGCGUGCGUGCGUGCGUGCGUGCGUGCGUGCGUGUGUGUGUGUGUUUACCAAGAGUCCUUAGCCAAGUUAGCACCACUAUCUGGCUAUUCUCACACAGAGUAUUGAUUUGAGAAAAAUACAAGCAGCUGUAUUCUAACAUGCUAAAAUUACUACUGUUAACCUAAAAUUGCUUUGUACAUUGAGUACAAUAAAAUCUUAUUUUUACAUGUGAACAUGCUAGCUAUCAAAAACCAAACAAAUGUAAGAUAUAUUUACAUUUUAUCUCUAAUAUGGUGCCAGAUGUUGAGAUUAAAUUUGAUUUGAUUAGUUUAGAUCAGAAAGCUAAUUCACUUCCAAGUCAAUCCUUAUAUACAACAAAGACAACACACUCACACCAUAAAUAAAGUAAAUAAAUAACACUAUUAAAAUCAUUUGGGGUGUAAUUUAUAGCCAUGUAUCAGUAACGCAACUAAAAGUGUUCAUCAAAAUAUCUGACUGCUCCUUUAGUGUUUUGGCAGUACACUCAGGUAUCACAAGUUGGCCCCACUAAAUUGAGUCUAUGAAUUUAUUAAAAACACCAUGUACAGUAAAAGGUUGCCUUCAAAGAUCUGAUCACUUUUUAAUUUAGCAUUUCAAGAGCUUCAUUUGGCCUAAGAGGGAUGUUAGUGUCUGUGGUGCAGUAUCAUGGAAAUCUUUCGAGUACUUUAAAGUAAGUAGAGACAGAUCUAAACAUUUUUAGAUACAGUUGUAAAAAUAUUCAAGAAUAUAACUAAAAACUUAACUAUUAAACUGUGUAAUUAAGGGCUGCAACCAACACUCUUUUUAGACAACCAUUUAUUCAUAGUAAUAUUAAAGUAAAGUAACCAUUUUUCUGUUUUUUACAUGUAACGUAACAUCAUUGAUUAAGACUAUGUUCUCUAUGUAAUACUCAAUACAAAAAAUACAACCAUUUCACUUGUCCUUCACUAACAAUGGCUUUGCCCGGUUUAACAGAGGUUCUCCCCCUGAGAACAAGCUGCACCUGCACAAACUAGCUCUCUGUGGUCAAAUGUGGGACCACAGGGUGGGAAAGUUCAGGAAAGAGAAGCAAAGUUAUGGUGCUCUGUAAAUUGAAAAUGGGUUACCACAGUUGUUCAACCGUCUAAGGCAAAACAGUGAAAACAUGAUUGAACAGAUUUAUCACCUUCUUCACACAAACUAUAACAGUUUGAACCCAAAAUUUCUUUGUUGUCAUGUUUUGAGUGUUUACAUCUCAUACCUUUUAACAAAUAUAUUCACCUUAACUCAAAGUUGAGUGGAAUCGCGUUGGUGUUUUCAGAGCUAGUGAAAAAAGAGUAUGUGCACAGCCUGAAGUGACUGGUUGACCCCAUACUCCCCCCUGCUAUGCCUGUGAUGACAUCACCACAUAUUUCAGCAGUGAGUAAUGAAAUAGGUCAACGUUAAAUGUCUUGUUCACACACUGCUUAUCUUCCCUAAUGGAAUUAGACCUCCCCUAACCUCACGCCUGUUCUCUGAGGGAUUUCCCUUCAAACAUUUGCCGAGCUUGUGUUCAUAUCACUGUGCUGAUUAUCCCUCUUUUUAUCUUAAAACCACCUCAGUUGUUUUUCCUCAGCGUGCCAGAAAUCCAGAAAGCCUAGAAAUAGCCUGCUUAGGAAUGUCAGACUAUACCAGUAGUUGUUUCCCACUUUUCCACAUUUCUCCUGGCAACUGCAAAUAUUAAACUUCAAAUUAAACUGCUGCUCAGGAGCUCACUUAAUAUUGGGGUAGAACACAGUCCCAAAGUUGACCAUGGACUCAUUAUACUUAAAGGUAGGAACUCAAUCAGACCCCUAUAUUAAGUAGGGCUGUUGGAAAUGACCAUACGUGUCUUUAGUAAAACAUUAAAUGUUGAUGUUGUGCUAAAAAUAUGGUUAUACUGAGAGUUCACAGUUGAGGUCCUUUACGCUGGUUAAAAGAAAAAGAGGCAGCGGACUGCUAUUCGCCCUCUAGAGGUUAUUUGGCCCUUUUAAAUUACUGAAAUGUUGUUGUAUUUUUCUCAACCCUAAUGGAACAUUGGAGCUUGAGCCUCUUUGGGUUACUAAGUAAUUAAACAUUUAUACUUUCUGACCACCCUUUUAACUGUUUUUAUUCAAUUAUGUAAUUUACUAUGUAUAACGUAGCUUAUGCUUCAAAAUAAAAGCAUAGCUUUCAGAUGUAGGAAAUAAAGCAACCUAAACACAAGACAAAACAUAAAUCAAAGUAAAAGCAUGACAAACACUCAUUUCAUGAGGCAAUGUCUUUAAGAGAAUAUAGGUUUCACAGUCAGUGAUGUGGAUAAAUAAUUGGAAAUAGAUGAUGACAUCUCAGUCAGCUUUGUUUAUGAAUAAUAUUAUUGGCGUUUAAGAUAUCUGAGCAUAUUUAAAAUAUGUAGCUCCUUCCUUGUCUUGUAUUUCCUCAAUUUUUCUUACUCUGUUAUUUUAAAUUACACAUCUUUCAUUAAUAUAUCAAUAAUCACUUGUAUGAUAUUUUAUGGCUGCGAUAAUCGUGAGGUGACAACGUGAUAUCGUUGGUUAAAUAGGAUGCAGUCAAGUCAAAAAGGACUAAUAGAUGUUAAAGAAAGAAAACAGCACUUAAUUUUUUUUUUCUUUUCAUCCAUGUGCAGUGGUAUACUGGAUUCUGAUACCUGCAACAGUGUUAUAAUCAACUCUUAGUCUGCCCUGUGGGCUGGAUAUCUCGUUCAUAUACAGUUGAAUUUCAAUAUAGUUUUUUGGCUGAUGGUUUGGAGAAUAGGAUGAGGUCAUUAUAGACAGAAGCUGUUAGUACUAAAUUUUCUGACGCAGUGAGAAUGUGAUCAUAAAGAUAUAAAAUCAUUCCACAGACACUGUGUGUUGUCCCCUUAUGCAAACAAAAUCAGAUAUGUUUUACAAAAAAACGUACAGUUUUUUUUUACGGAUUCACAGCUAAUUUUACAGUUUGUAUAAAGCUUGCAAGAAAACAGUAUUAUGUAUUGUUUUUAAAUAUGAUUACAGUAGAAAAAUAGCAGACCCAAACUCAGCUUAAUAAAGAAGAAAGAAAAGUUAACUACAGCACACCAGAAAUUAAAAGUUACGGUCACAUAGAGGGUGUUGGAUCAGUUGAUGAAAGUACUGACAUAUGGUUCUUUCUAUUAGGUCUUUUAGUUAAUUCUUUCUUCCUCUAUCUCCUCUCUUUCACUUUAAACAAAAAGCGGGGCCUUUAAUGUCCGUAUUAAUGUAGAAGCAGGUGGUAAAGAAGCCUUUGUUAAUCACUUAAUGAUGAAUACCCCCCACUUUACAUGGUGGCUUUUUCACCAGCCAUUUACUUCUUGUGCAUGGGCUGUGGAAACUUUAUAGAAAGUUUAUCUUACCAUGAAAUGAGUAGGCAAGGAUAAAUGGCUAACGUUGGGUUUUGUCCAUCAAUGCAGUCAGCCUAUUGGGGGUCCACCAACUGGGCAGGGUUGGACCAUAUGUCAUCAUUCCGACCCUUUGUGUGGGCGUUUCUCUGUGGCAACAGCAUCAGCUGUGGCCAUUGUGUGUUGGGAUUCAAUGGCCCAUAUAUUCAUUGCAGGGCUAGUGUGGGCCUCGCAACAGAAACAAAUUGAUACAUACAAGCCCCAGCUCCAUUUGGCUCGCAUGACACAUUUCGAAUGGACAAAAAAAGGACAUUUGAGUCUGCUGAAAAUCUUGAGAAAAGCUUGGUUGCCAUAGUGACUGGGCACUAAAAGCAGCCAUGGACCAUUAAACUCCAAUCAGAUGUAAAUUUGGGUUGCCCCCAAGCCCACGGACAGAAAGCCCCCUUCACACAGCAGACACAAAUUAAACAGUUUGUUUGCCAAUUCACAUGUCAUCUUAAUGGGUUUUUAUUCGUUUGGCCUUUGUUUAAAUGAAGAGAUUUAUAAUAUUGGAGCCACUUCUGCUGUCUGUGCAAAGUCAUUCAUUACUGACUUUAAGUCAGAUGGUUGAAAGAGAUAAAGGACUCUUAAAAAGUGUAAGAUGUUAAAACAAGAGCCACCAGAAUGAUCCUUGUAUCCAGGAGAAGUUGAAUGCUGUUAAACAAUACUGCUGUGUGACAGUGGUGCAUUAUUGAUUGAAGUAUUGUUAUUUCGCCCUUGUGGAACAUCUCUUUAAAACAAUAAUAGCACAAUCAUGGCCUGUCAGUUUUAUAUUAUUUUUAUACACCAAAAAGCUAAUCUGAUGUAUUUUUUUUAUCUACAUAACCUAUUUAUUAACAAGAAAGCUGUCGCCAGAUAUGUACCCCAGUAAAACUUGGAAACAAUAUUUUCAGAUUUAACUCUCUUCUCUACUUUAUCUUGCUUCACAAAUUUCCAUCAGCUACUUUUUUUCUCCAUAAAAAUGCUGUGUAACACAGGAAACAAGGUUUAUGGAAAACAAUGAGCCAAUGGGUGACACUGUCUCUAGGACAGGAAGCAUUGUGCCCCUGUAAUUUGGUAGAGAAAAUAUUUUGCUGAACUUGAUGAAUAUUUUGCUGGACUUGAUGGCUGGAGAUUUGUUUGAGCAUGGUACGCUGUUUGAAUGUGCUUCAAAGUCAUGUCCUGUGUGUGUUGUUAUUGUAAUAAUCAGGCUUAUUAUGAUUCACAUUGUCUUGUUUCUGUUCAAGUACAGGCCAACUAAAGUCUUCAGCAUUAAUCUGCUUCUGAUUGCUGCAUAACUUGUCAACACUCAGUAAAAGUAAUUCUCAUACUUACGUUAUCAUAUUUGCAGUCAACAAGAAGGGGCGCAUUCUGUAUGCUGUAAUUACCAUUAAACACUUAUAGCCAUCAGAUAUAUGGCAAGAGCACAGAGAAAAGUGUAAUUGAUGUGAUGAGACAACAGUAAUUAUGUGCGAUAAUUGGUGUAUUUAUUGCAGAGAUGUGAAAAAGCAUGGCCACAAGUUGCAGUGUGAAGGACAUGUAAUCCUUUACACUAUAAGAUUUUAAAGCAACUUUUCAAGCCCCUCUGGCGUAUCCAAGUCAGCACAUGUAAAAGGGAGGAAUCAAAAGGAGAAACUGCUGCUUGUUUAAUGAGGAGUAAGUGUGUGGUCCUGUUUCUCUGUGUCUUCAGGAGGCUGCAGCCGGUCUUGUCUUUCCCUCUUCCAUGUUCUGUUAUGACAGCAGCGGACAGACAGAGCGCAGCGUGGGCUCCCACUGGCUCUGGACCAAGCUGACCUGGGACCUGACAUUACCAGUAUAGCUGCAGCUUCCCCAUUGCUAGCUCUUUGUUGCACAGUGCAGCUAACGAUGCCCUGUCUAUCUGCUGUGGUGUCUUCCAUGCAGGGCCGGGCGAAUGCUAAUUUGACAGAGUGAUGAUUAACUGCAACAGCCACAGAAGCAAACAGCCUCAUGUUCAUAUGUUAUUGUUUCCAGUGUCGUACCUCCCACAGAGAUUUGACUGCUCUAUUAACGAGCUAUUUCAUGUCUUUAGGGGAUAUUUAUGUGGCGAUGCAGCUUCUGUUUGUGCCCAGGAAAUUUUGUUUUACUUUUUUAAACAUGAUUUUAGAUGUUUCUUUGAUUGGGAGGAGUUAUAAAUUCAUGUGGACACAAAAUUAAUGUCUACACAAGAUAGCAGUCUUAGACCAUGCCUUUGCCUCCCUAGGCCUCUUUUUAUUCCGACAGAAUAAAGAGGAGGCAGGAUGCUGCACUGUCUGGCUGUCUGGUGUCAACACAGAGCUGUGUCUUGUCCACUGGUGGCUGUGGAGGAUUCAUUAAAGUCCACAUUCACUCCCCCUGCACGUGAGUGACAGGUCCCUAUAGCCAGUCUCAUCCCUCUCCCUAAAGCUCCACAGAUCAUCCCACUCCUCUUUCGCCCAUCUGGUUGCCUGAGACUAACAAGGGGUGUCCUCCUGCUUUAAGAGGGUAAAAAGAGAGGCAGGCGAAGUUAAAGACUUGAAGAUCCCACCAGAUUCUCUGUGGUCUGUGGGCUCCAAUUAUUCAGAGCUUACCUUUUCAGCUUGGCUGAUCUCUAAAUGAAUAAAGUGGAGGCCGCAUUACUGCUGGCCGGGUGCACGUCUAAAGAGGCUGAAGGAGGAUCAGGGCUGUGGGUUAUGGUGUCAAUCUGGCCCUGACCCCCAGGGUUAGGGAGGUGACGUUAUGUAGUGACAGCACCCAGGCAUCCCCUUGUAGCACCUCCAUUUAGAAGCAGUCUGGAUAAAUGGAAGAGGGCAAUCACAUUAGAGGAGGUUUCUUUCCAUUUUAGAGCAAAAGCGAGAGAGAGAAAGAGAAAUCUGUGAUCACAAAGUGACUGACUCUUGACUUGAAAGUCAGCUCCAAGACUGAGGCAGGAGAAGGUGGAUGUCAGGAGGUUAAUCUGGCACAGUAAGUGCUGCUGCUGGUGUCAAGAGUCAUACGGAUUAAAAGAUGCCUAAGUCACUUUCACACAUAGAUGAUGUGGACUUUGUCCUCUAAUAGAAACAAACGACACAUAUUUUUACUGACAAUACAAUUUCAGAGAGACCUUUUUUCAUGGUUUGUAUUUUUAAAACAACGGCAUGCACAUAGUUUCAAUAAAACGUAGAAUUUGGCAUUUUAAAUAAUUGAAAGGAUUUCAGUGCAGAAUUUUUCACUUUUUUUGAAGCAUGCCCCUGCGAACAGGAUUUCUCUUGCUGGGUUUAAUACUGGCCAGAUAUCCAUCACUUGUGUUUAUUUAAACUUUCUUACUAGAUCUGAGAGAGACUUAAAGCCCAGUAAGCCUUUUCCCUUUCAGAAAGUGGUGGAAUAACUGAAUCUUGAUAUGACAGACCGAUUCAAGAGCCCAUUUUCAUCAUAAUCACUGCACCAUGGACUACAUUUGAAUAACAUCACCUGUAUCUUCAAAAACACUUUCAGAGUUUGUUUUAUUUCCACACCACAGGGUUCACUGAAGUGACACCCAUGGACCAAUCCCAUCUGCAUUUGGCUGUGAGCCGAGCACAAUGGGAGACUGGUGGGCCAUCGAUUGGCAGCAACUCUCCCAUCCCUGAGAAUCUCCUACUCUUAGAUCUUCCGACAAGUGCUGCCGAUGCCGCUCUUUUCUUUUGCCUUCAUGGAGAUGGCUGGGAGAUUCUCAUGCCACCACACAAAGCCUAAACAAGUGGGUAUGUCUAAUUCAAUUAAGUCCACAAGGCUGUGCCAAGUGGGCCUGGGUCCCGUGUGACAGGGAUAAUGAGCGGGCAGAGACAAGGAGGAGGGGGGCAGCUUCUGGGUUAUAGGAGGCUAAAGCGAGAGAGACCUGAGCUCAUUCGGAUGUUCAUACUUUAUUCUUUUUAUCUUCUCCUCUCAGCUUUAAUGUUGCCAGGAAACCCCGGCUCAUUAUGUGUCCAAUGGAAUAUUUUGCAUUCCAGCAUCGCUCUUCAAAUGUGCUUAAUGAGAGAUCGGGAAAUACAAAUAGCCUGACCUUUGAAUUCCUAAAAUUCAGCGCAGAAAUGUUUCCUAAUCUGGAUUCUUUUCCACUGCUGAGGACAGCGUGACAUACAAAAUGUGUCAGAGAAGAGAAUCUGACCCACCUCAUGCAAGUAUUGUACCAUAUGAGUAAGGAUGACAUUGUUUUGUCAUCAGCCCUAGUAUAAACCAUAUUCAUCACAGUCCCCCAACCUUAAUUUAGUAAUUAAGUAAAAGCAAAGGAUUAUCUCCACUUAACUCAAAUUUUUAUUAUUAUUAUUAUUUUUUAUAUUUUGCUUAAAUCCAACAAUAGGUAACCUCUACUACAGAGAUGGCUCAACAAACAGAACAGACACUUGAAUAUUCUUUUGUAAUGUCUUUUUACACCUUUAUCUUUAACUAAAUACUCUUAAUAUUUACUCCAACAUCAUAAAGAAAUUAUUCCUUAACGUUUUUUUGAAAUCAUGCCAGCCUCUUUCAGUGCUGAGAGAGCAGACACAUAGGAUCCAUUUUCAAAGUCAGCGUUGUUUUAAUGCAACACCACUGACCAAAUUAUUUCUAAAUGCAACAAAAUCCUGUAGUUGGAAUAAAUCAAAUUAUGAUCAUGGUUUAUCAUCAGCAUUAAUGAGGGGUGAUGACAAUAAAAUGUCAGACUGCACCUCUUAAAGCUGCUUUGUUAUUUGUUGACCAGUCACAAAAAAAAACAUGACCAUAAUAGUCCUUAAACUAAUCCUCUAGUCAGUGCCUAGCUACAGGUGGCUAUGCUGAAUGACUCACAACAGGAUAUGAUGUAAUAUGCAGCCCACCAGGAUUAUAUCAUGAUACAGUAAUAUUGCAAUGAUAAAUAAGUUGAAAGACCAUCAUAGAAAUAUAUCAUGAUACUUGAGUAGUUUAAGUAAUGCCUUUAACCUUCUUCCCGUGUUAACUUUUACUACGCACCCACCAUUUUAAGGGUCGGUUUCAACCUGUGUCUUAAAUCAGCUGUAAAUUACACUAAAAACAAUUCUCUAUCAUCCAAUUUGAUUCUCAUCUCUCGGUUACCUUGCUAGGCUUCAUAAUCUAUGAAAAUAUUGCUUAUAAUAGUUUUUGUUGUGGUCCUCUGGGCCUUUCUUUGUCAGUUUACCCCUCAUACAGACAUCUAUACUGAAUUGAUCUAACAUGUCUGGACAUGCCCGAUGUUUUUUUGUGCAGGGAAAAACAUGGCAAAAUGAGAAUUUCCUAAAUCUCACAUGAUUGGAAGAGGAUCUGACUGUCAGUAGCUACGUUUACAUGGAGCCAAAUAUUCCGAAUAUAAUCGGAUUAGAAGCCCAAUCGGAAUGAAAAUGCUCCAUAUAAACACCUCAUUCGGAAUAAACAGGCCCAUUCCGAAUGGAAUUUCAUUCCGAUUCACAGGGGUAGAAUUUUCCUUUUCCCAUUCCGAUUAAAAGCAAAAUCCUGUCAUGUAAACAGUGAAUCGGAAAGUUGUCAGGCUGGGUUCUGUCUGCGCAUGCUCUGUCCUGAUGUAAACAAGCAGUGACGUAUGACUCACAUGGAAACAUGAUGGCGGCUUCCAAGCAGAGCACGAUGCACUGGUCUGCGUCGGAGAGUUUGUUUUUGAUACAAACUCUCAAAGAACUAGACAUUGUCGCACGCUUAGACGGUAGGAAAACACAAAGCUGUUGCUUUAAUAAAAGUGAAAAAACAAUCGCUACUACUCUGCUUAACAGACGAAAGACCUCCAUCUUUGAUCAAUCACGUGAUGUUUGAAGGUAUCACGUGUCUGUAAAUAGCUGUUCCGAUUGAAUGCCGUGGCACAUGUAAACACCAGAUCAGAAUAGAUCGCUUCCAUGUAAACAGUUCGCCUGGGAGCUUCAAUCGGAAUGAUUAUAAUCCGAAUGAGAAAAAAGUCUGCAUGUAAACGUGGCUAGUGUGGUGCCUGACAGUUCAUCUAUGAUUUCAGUUUUUGCUCCUAUCAUUUGAUAUUGAUCUAACCGGAUCAACAGCGACCCUAACACAAUUGCCAUAAUUUUAAUAAGAGCAUUUUAUAAUUUAGUCAGUUUAAUUUUUUUGAUUUUAUUGAAAUAGAGGUUCCUGACAAAGUCAUAAAGUCUUGAUGCAAAAAAGCUCAUUUAAGUGGUUCUUUUAAGCAUUUAAAAACAAAAACUGGUCAGUGCAGACCCUAGGGGACCCUAAGGAGGGUUAAAAGGUCAUUUCAGGACUGAUGUAUUAUUCACUGCAGUUUGGUUUGGUUUCACUGAAAUGAAACAAAGUAAAUAACCGCUUCAACAGACAUAAAACAGGGAUUUGUAACAGUUUGGGUUAGCCAAGUUCUUCCCUGUUGUAGUUUGGUGAUGAAUACAUUUUUUUUUGUGUGUGUGUACUUUUGGAAAUGUUGGUGCUCUUGGGCUGGUCUAAAGAAUAGUUUUGUCUGGGCAGAUGUGUCUGGAAAGGUUAGUGACAUCUACUUAUCCAUUGUCAUAGCAGAAAGUUGCUAAAUAGCACAGCAGUCAUGGUUGACAGGGAGCUUGGCAUUGUUAAAAAAAACCUGCUUUUCUGCAUUUUCAACACUUUUGACUUCAGCUGGGAAGUAUCUCAGACCUGAGAGGCCUUUAGUUUCAGUGAAGUCUCCAAAGGACUCCUGCUGCUCCACGGAGACCCUUGUCCCUAACUGGCACAAAAAGCCCCUUAAACGUUUGACUUUCUCACAGAAACAGCUUGCUAAAUAGUAUUUCUGUAAUGGACUCCUGCUAGGGUUCAUAUGUGUUGUAUAGCCACAUUGCACAAAGUUGAGUCAACAUGAUUACCAUGAGAAUGGUCCCAAAGAAAAGCCCAAAAAGGGUUUUUUGAAUAAAAUGUGAAACUAUAGAAUUCUUUGUUUUCCCAGGAAAAAAAAGAUGAUAAUCAAAGACAUCGAUGGUCAUUUUUCUAUCAGAAAAGUGCUGCCGGAUGAAUGUCUUAUUUACAUGCCAAUGGAAAAGGCCAUGGUUUUAAAAGGAUGGGAAAGCAGGAGCCUCUAUUAUAGUCGAGCUGGUCCCAGAGGCUGUGGCUACUCCGGCAGCCUCCCUGCCAGGCUGCGGUUAACAAGGCCUUGGCUGAAUUAAAGAAUGGCAAUGAGUUUUUAAUUGGUGACACAUUAUAUUUAUCAAGCUGACAGCAGAGUGACUGCACUGCAGCCUUCUUGUUUUGUCCUUGUGCACGCAUUACUUCCCCCUAUGUGCCCCUGCAUGAUACCCCCUAUCUGCCAGGGUCCCUCACGUGUGAAGAAAGAAGAAAAACAUUAUAAUUGAGCAUCAAGUUGAAUGAUAACACUGAAUUAUUCAUUAGGGUCUCUUAAAGUGUUGGAUAAAUCAACCCCCCUCUCUUCUUUUUUUAACAAAAGCUUGUCUUUGUCCCUCACUCCAAUCACAGCAGUUUAAGGCUUAGCAUAGAGACAAGUCCUUUUCAGGCCUUUUUAUCCAUCCUGACAGAAGUUCUGCUGUGGGGCCGGAAAAGUUAUUAACAAGUGUUUAAUAUUUGGAUGGGAGGGUUUGGUCACCUCUUUUUCUCAUGUUGUUUAUGAGUGGACCUCCUAUUCACCAAGCUGCUUGUGACUUAGAGCUGAAUAAUGGUGCUGAAUGUUGCUAAUGUGAGCAUAUGUCAUGAAUAUAUUUGAAUUUCAAAAAAAACUUUUAUUGUUGAACUUUUAUGAUCAGUUUUAGUGUAUUGAAAAACUCCUGUACAAUGUUUAUUAACUUCCCAGUGAAUGACUUGCUCUUAACUGACUUAAACUGUUAAAGUGGUUCAUUUAAAGCCUGGAAAAACUGAAUCAAACCUUUACGCAGGAGCAGGAUGUGAAUCAUUUUGCCCAGAAAAAGGUAUCAAAUUAUAGAAAGCAAAAAUUUGUGCCAUAAUACAUCCAAAUUCAUUUAAAUUAAGUCACUUUCAUGAUAGUAAAGACAUCAAAGCAAAGGUAUGAAAAUCAGCUAUAAAAGGUUUUAAUGCCAAGUGGCUGUUGAGUGUAAAUUCUGUGGCUCAGAAAGCAUGUCAUGUUGUAAUUUUUUGCACUGUUGGUGCUCAUCCUAAUUUCCAAAGGCUGUAACAGAUGUUUUUCUUCAGAUUUAUUUUAAACCCUUGUUGUUUUCAAGGAACGCAGGUCUUGGACAAACUCUUUUGUAGCACUGGGGGCGUUACCAAAGUGUAGGGGAUAAAAAAUAGAGGUCCUGGCUAGUUCUUCAGAACGGUGAUGAAAGACUGGGAGCUGGGGGAAAGAAGCCUAAUGAAAUAUUUAAGAUUUAGGCUAAAAGGGAACUCUCAAAAAGUUUUUGUAACAAAGGGGUCUGCCGAGAGCCUCCAUUGUCCUGGGACCAGGCGGAAGCAGGGGCCAACUUGCUACAGAUAUGAGGAGGGCCCAUAUUGAGCGGGGAUGUGUAGGCUCUGCUCACAGCUGUGUCGCUGCACUCCCGCCCCAGCCACCAGCCCCCUGCCUUUGUGCGCCUUUGUGAGGGCCGCACAGCACCGAUUUUACACCGAGCUGAUCGCACAGCAACGGCUUUGUGUUGCCGACAAGAAAGCCACGCCCAUUCUUGACCACCGGUGCUCUACGCAUCAUCGACACACCAACACAUUCAUCCCAAUCCCAUCAGCCUACACUGAUAUUCAGCCUUUUUAUGACCAGAGGAUGACAAGGUGAUGAAUUCUCUUUCAGUGGGCUGAUAUGAACUGUGGAGGUUGGUGAGGUGGGGGUAAGUGGGGUGGGGUGGUGUCUGUCUUCCUGGCUCCUUGUCCAGGAUCUGCCCAUUUAGCGCCUAACUGCUUUUGAUUAAUGGAGGGCUCAUUCUGUGUAACAUAUGCCAUUGAGGAGCCAAGAAAGCGACCACGUCUGCUGAUGUUUGUGAGUAAUGAUGUCACAAGGUCACAGCGAGUAGUUUAGACACAGAAUGAGGGAAACAAAAGAAGAAAUUGAGCUUUUCUGUUUGUUAAAGAUCAGUUGAUGCAACAUCUGUUGGGAAGUAAAUGUGUUUAAGUCCCUGUUUAUUAGUGAAGAGACAGGAUGGGAAACAACUGGCAGUAUUUCUUUCUCGUUAGCUCUUGUUGAGACCAGUUUUAUCCUCUCCUCUCGCAGGAAAGGGAAUGAAAAAGUGAGAUCACUCUUUCAUUUGGUCUCUCUUUUUCAAACAGUUAUGGUUUUGUACAUCUGUUUUAGGUCUUGUAUUAGACUUUCUGCUUUUAUGAUUGUUUUUACUCAGAGAUAGCUUAAAUACUGAAAUAGGGGUAACACCUUUGAAUUUUUAAUCUCUGAGUUGAUGGUUAAUGUAGUUGAAUACAUCAGAUCUGUACCCUACGUAAUACAUGAUCUGUCCCAUCCAGGCACCAUUGAGGACAUUUCCUUAAAGGAUGUUUGGUCCAGGGUCCCCUCUAUCAUAAAAAAUGAAGACAUAUUGUUUGGUCCAUGUCUCUCACAGCUGAAGCUGUAAUUAAACAGAGUUUCACUGAGGUCAGUCAACUAAGAGUUGUUUUAACGCCUUGAUUCAACUUUUACAUGUUAUGUUGUUACUGUAUGUAACUAUGCAAGUAGCUUGGCUGCAGAUAAUACCACUGUGUAUGGAGUGGAUAAAAACAAAAUCAUAAAUAUCAGAUACAAAGUGACAGCUUAGUAGGAAGACAUUAGUAAGAGGAGAGAGAAGGCAGAGCCAGGGUUAUGCUGUCCACUGUACCUCCCACUAUUCCCCUAUCCUCACUCUAACAUGGGAUGUGAAUCAGUGAUGUAUGGGGAGAGAUUAGAUAGAGGAGAUAGAUAUAAGCUUGUUUGGGCUGUGAAACUCGUUUUAUAAAAAUAUGAUAGUGUUUUUUGAAAUUCAACUAUCAAAUUUACUUUCUUUUCCUCCAAUUUCACACAUAAAGUACUGCUUUGUUGCUCAGGAUUUUUUUGAUUUUUAUUUACUGUGGCUAUAUGUAAAAAUAGUGACUCAGACAAAAAUAAUUACUCCGUAAAUUACAGGCUGUAUCAAAGUUUCUAAAAAUGUUUCAACAUUGUUUGAAAAAUUUCCUAAUUCAGAAAUACUUUUCCAUAACUUGACAAACUGAAAAUCUUCCUUUCACACAAAUAAACAAAAUAUUUGCAAAUUUCUUGAUUACACUCCAUGGUAUUUAGCAAAUUACUUUUCUUUAAAUUGGAGGUAUGUGCCUCUGGGCUUAAGUAAGAGUACUCUGUUUAUAUUAUUUUAAUAUUGGUUAUGUACUGAUUUAAAAACCUUUUGUCUCCACUGACUUCUUAUAUGAUGGCAGAUACAUCUGACAGAUUUCUCAAAUCAUGCAUUAUUUAUCUAAAACCCUUAAAAUGGCUUAAUACAAACAUCAUCGGUUGUAAAAGUCAUGUUAAACAUAGGGUAAAGCUGUUGGACUACUAUAUUGUUACCGUAGGUGUUUUCCACCAAAUGAGACUUGUUGUACUGCCAACAGGAGGAUACACAGGAGACUAGCAAUGACAUCACUGAGGUUGGAAAGUCCUCCCUCUAAUGAUCCUCCUGUGUUGUGUCUGUUUGGAUCUGCCAUGCCAGAGUUAUGGCUAACACACAGACUCACUCCGGUGGGAAGCUAAAUAGCCUUUAAUGCAGCUGAGGCACUAUAAGAGCUUGAUGCAAACCAGACGCAGGACUAACCUGUUAGCCACCCCUCUUUAAUGCCGGGGUUUGCUAGCUGCACUUUCUUGGGACUUUGUCUCUCUGCUCUUCACAAAGACCUGUCACGUUUAAUGGCCUGUUGGCUGAGUGGGCUGCUGUAGCACUCUCCAGAAGAAAGCCCUGCGAAGAAAGGCUCAUGGUCGGCUAAUGCAGCUUAAUAUUCUUUAAAAAGGUUCCGGGGACAAUUAAGAGCGUUUCCCAUGGUUCUCCCCCCAGCGGUGCGUGGCUGCCUGUGCAGCAGCUCGUCUGUUUGAUGGACUCUGAAUACAUCUUAUUGAUGGGGGUCAGAGAUUAGAAGCAGCCGUGCGAAAGGAGGAGAGAGAAAAGAGGGUCCUACAUGGUGGCCUCACACUCACACACGUACUACUUCAUAGCUCUUCCAUUUGUCUGUCUGGUAUUCAUCUGAGCUGAAUUAGUGAUUGAGUGUUGCAUGUCUUCUCACAGGGAUUCACAGACACAAACUUCACUAAACUGUUGUGUUUCUCUUUACCUCCUCUCCACUAUUAACAUGUUUCACAGCUACCCCUUCUGGUUACAAAUAGUGACCAGAACCUGUCAAGAGUCUUUAAUGAUGGCCUUAAAAGUGGGCCACCUGAAGUCUGAGUUCCUUUUGCUAUCUUUUGCUGUUUAUGUCCUUGUUUUUCUAGCAAAGCAGAGCACUACUAUAGAAAACGACCACAGUGCAGAUGCCACAUGUGUGAGUGUGCAGGGUCAUGACCCCAGCAGCAGAGGCCUUAGAGGGCAGAGCAACCACACAUUUUUGACAACACCGACAGAAACUAAAGGACGAAUAAGGAUAAGACAAAGACAUACUUAAGUGCACGAGGGUGAGCAGGGUUGCAUGUGCAUUUUUGCAGACGUAACAGUGCAUGCCUUGGUCAAAAUAGAAAAACAAAAACAUACCUUCUUGCACUUGAGGUUGUCAAAAUAGAUACUCAUCCACACCACAUGGUUUGACGUUAAAAAAUCUCUGUUAUUUCUGUGUUGGAUAGGAUCAAAAUGUGUCAAAGUUUAGCGGUGGUUGAGAGACAGAGAAAAAGUGAAGUGAGGGAGCACUGCCAACAAGAAAGCGUGAAACUGAAAAAUAAGUCAAUACUGACAUUGUAUUAGGCAUCUCACAGACAGAGCGGAAGAGAGGGAUAAAUGGUGGUCUGGUCUCCUUUAUUCUGUAUGUUUUCUUCUGUCUGCUGACUGCUAACAUUGGGGCUCACACUUCCUCUGGGUUAUGAAUGAUAAAGAUGAGAAAUUUCACUCCUUUCAUUGUUGUCUAAAGUAUUUGCAAAGUGACCUCUGCACCAGGACUGUGUGCAGAUUCGUGGUUGACCAAUUACAGUCUUCAAUAGCCAGUGCUGAUACCGAUAUUAAGAGAGCAGUUUGGCUGAUGGCUGAUAUAUAAUGCCAAUAUCAUAUUGUUGUUUUUUAUUAGUAAAAUAAUUCUAACAAACGAGAAACAAUAUUGCUGAAUUCGAGUGAAUGGCUUGAUGUAGAUGGAAAAAUAUUAGGUCCAGUAAAAUAUUGCCACAAGGGACUUUCUGCCCGGCUAUGUGGAAUAAGCAAGAUAGACAGAAAAUAUACAAGGUAAAUUCUGAUAUAACUGUUAUUAAACUAUAUUAUUCUACACAAUGCAUUCAUCCGAAUUUAUAUUGAACACUAGUUGGUCUUUAACUCGAUAUGCUGUAAAAUGCAUUUUUAUUUAGAAAGAUAAUGGUGAUAUCGGCUUUGAUGUGGAUUAUGUCAAAAUACUGUUAAUCUGCUUGAUGUCUUUGAAGGUUCUCAUUGUUAAUCUGCAUGGUUAAUCACUUUUUUCUCUACUGCACACCAAAGCAGUGCAAUAAACAAAACAACAACCCAAAUUUUUAUAAUUUUUGUCCACAUUAUAUCAAGACAGUUAUCAGUAUUGUUUGAUUGUAUUGUAUCAAAGUUUGAUAUCCUGAUAUAUACCCUAUUUGUGCUACCACUCACAUUGCUGAAUCAGAGAAGUGGUCAAACUCACAAACCAACUACAUUUGCUGUCAUCUUGUUGUAACUAUCUAUUAUCCAGCAAAAACCAAUCCAGAUGACACCAAAGUAGAUAUCAUGUCAUGCAUAAGUAUGGAAAUAAUUUCAUCCUUGAUAUUUUCUUUCCUCUGAUGACCGUUGUGUAUAUAUGUCUCCUACUGCUGCAUGACUAUUUUGUGUCUCCUAAUAUAGGGCAGUCCUCCUACAGCUGGAGAUGACCAUGCAGUGGCAAUUGUAGGAGUGUUUUGGGUCAAGGAGAGAGCAGGGGUUUUGUUUGCCUCCAUCUCAUGAUUGAAUGGCCAUGUAUAGGAGCAUGAAAGAAAAGGAGCCAAUUAAGUGCUGGGCGGCUCGAUUUUUUUUGUCCUGUGUUGUAAUUAGGCCCAGGCUCCAGAAAACUUCCUCAAGUACCUUUUGGGUUGUUUUGUUGUCAGGCCAUAUCAUUAAGGCCAAAAUGAUCCUCCCAGGUGCUCACUGCUUGAAUAUGUUGAGAGACUAUGUAAAGAAAAACUGCUGUCCACAAGCUUUUGGGGCCUUGUAACACACUCAGUGGUCCAUACACAGUAGCAUGAGUGGAGUCCUUAGAUUCUGCCAAUCAAGCGGGUAAACAAUGAAACAAUAGCGUACGCGUUUCACAUUCGGGCGAUCAGAGAACAUAAAUGAACCUCUGGCAUCUGUGAUGUACAUUCAACCUCAAACUUGAGACUGAGUCCAUUCUCGAAAAAAUGAAGGAAUUCUUGUGGUUCCUUAGUUUUUACAAAAGCCCCUUAGAGCUGUAACUUCCGAUAUCUUUGAUGGUCCAGACCAAGGAAGUGAAUCACAUCAAUGGGCCUGAAUGUUUCGUUUCGCAUUACAUACCAGAUCCAGUCAAUCAGUUCCUGUCCCCCUUCACCACAGUUCGUAGGGUUUGCGUUUUCAAAUCUUUAUAUUUGUCCUUUCUGCAUCUUCAGUAAAUUACCUCUCCAAAUUAUUAUCAUAAUUAUUUUUUAAUCUUUCUUAUAUGUACAGUAUGUGUGAAAUAACCCUGACACUAAUGUAUAGGGUUAGGCCCCAGACACUGUCUCAGACAUGAAGUUUCAGCUGUGUGAAGUGAUUCAGGACAAAAGUUGCUGAAACCAGACAAAACAGGAACUGUUGGUAUGCAUAUCUGACCAAUUUAUCAGAUACCAUGACCCCAUAAACUCCCCACCCAGAGCCACACACACCCACACACACAUGCUGACACACUCCUCGACUCUGGGAAACAUGGAGUCUGACAGCUGCUGUCAGACUGGAAGGGGUGGGGUGGUGGGGCGCUAAGGGGCAUGGGAACGAUUUGAGAGUGCCAUGUUAAUAACUCACAAGUGUUUGGGCCGGUGGUCACUCUGAUAUUAAUGUGCCACCACACUCCUCCUGGUAUCUGACCCGAGGACACAUUCCUGGUGUAAUGGGCAGCAGCUGGACCAGGGGGCUUCCGGGAGGACAGCUGAGAAGAGUCAGGGGCAGGCCGUGGGGAACACCCACCAUUAUCGCCCCCCAGAGACCCAAACCUGCCCCCUCCCUGCUUACGGGUCCCUCCUACUCAGGAAAUCAUUUCAUAAGGUCCAUUAACUGAGACAAGUGGUUAUUUGGAGUAACAAAGCUUAUCAGUCAAUCAAUAUUUAUCCACGGACAACCAAAUUAAACCCUCACAUCAUUUUACAUAAAGAAUAGCUUUACACUGUUGACCUUGCUAUAUUGUUAAGUUAGAUAGUUCUUCAAAUCUUUGCUUUAGUGAAGAAAUUGGCUCUGCCGACUUGAAUUUGGAGUUUGCUGGUUUUACUCAGUGUGCAGCUAAGUAUCCAGCUCCAAGUGUUUCUUGGGCCAAGAAUGACCAGUAAUGGUCAUGUUGUUGUAAAGCUGAAAUGAGGUAUUUAGUCCUUUUCAUUGUGAGACUCCCUUUGUGUCGUCUUACUGCUUUUGUUCAGAAGUUACAUCUGCAGCAGUGAUAUGAUGUAUUAAAUGACUACUGAAGACCUGCAUUUGAUUUUCUGCUAAACUUUUUUUGGAAAACAAUAUCCUUAAUCAUGUUGGCUGUGUGUACAUCAGGUUAUUGAGUUUUGGAAAAUCUUAAAUCUGUGUAGCUCUAUAAAGUCUGGGUCUUGAAGUCAAACUGGCUUGGGGCCACCAUUUAUACCAUCAUCUUGAAGGGGCAUUCUUUGCAUAUUUUGGGACAAAUAAUUUGGUAUUGAUUACAUGGUUUACUGUGUCUAGUCUAGUGUCUAGUUUAGUCUAGCAGUGAUGCUUCAGAUCAUUCUCCUUCAGAACAUCCCUUCUUCACCAAACUCCUUUAAAAAUACAAGUGGUUGACUGCCACUGUUUUUACACUGAUACCAGUUGCGUUAGAGCAGAUCAGCCAGUGGCUGGAACAAACUGCUUAUCUGAUGCCCUUUUUUUUUUUUUUUUGCAUUUGAUAUUAAAAGACAAACAAAUUUAUAAUUGGAACCUUGUGGGCACCAAUGCUGAUGUGAUGCCUAUUAUUUCUAUUGUCUAGGUCUUGGCUUGUGUUGUUCUUGCCAAUAAGCAGCUUGACUAAACGGCAGUACAAUUGAUCAGUCUGUCUCUAAAAAGUACUCCAAUGUGCGUCUUUCUUGAAACUGCUUGUGUUCUUCAUUCACUUUCCUUUUCAGUUCAGAAAGAGAGAUCUUUGUCGCUAACAACCAAAGAACCACAGAGUCCCACCGCUUCCAGUCUCGACCUCUAAGAACCCACCUGGGUACAUGGAGGAACCUUUGGCCUUUGACCUUUGCUAUUAUUUAAGUUAUGCUGAAUGUAAUUGUGUCGAUAUGGUGGGGUGUUUCAAUGGGCAUGAAACAAGUAGGAAAUAAUGAAUCCGAAGUCAGUCUAUGUAAUCUAGCAUUACAUUUAUUGUUUAUGUUUUUGGCCAGAGGAAGGGAGGCAGAGGGCCGGUAAAUCGUAGGUUUGAGACAUCUGACAUAUUGAUCUCAAAAUGUGGCUGAAAAGAUGUUAAAAAAACAUCAUCACAAAUCAUGAAAGCUUGAAGUUCAUCAGUUACGUUAUCAACUUACAUCAGGUACAUCAAACAUUUCUCAGUCUCUUUUUCUUGUCCCUAACACUCUGUCUUUCUCUGUACACUGUUAAUACUACACCUAAAUGUAAACUAAGGACUUUUUUUUAAGUAAAUAAAAUAUUUUUUCAAAGGUGUAACACCUGACCAAACCAGUCCUGUAUGGUACAAGAAAUUUGCUAUAAUUUGCUAAAUUUGCUAUAACACGACCUUAUUUUGAGUAAUACUUAAAAAGAAAGUAGAAACUCAUACAGCCUCUGUGCUGCCAAUCCAAAUCCAGUCUUCAUCUUAAUGGGCAUUAAGUUCAGUCCACAGCUCAAACAUAACGCUUAUGAAUUAUGACAUCCACACACAUUUCUUUAGGAAAAACUUUGUGCAGACUUGGCUCAAGGUAGCCUUUUUCUUGUAAUGCUUUUUCAAUUCUUACAGGUUGUUCUUGUUUUUAAGGUAGCUUUUAAGUAGUAUGCUAGUAUUACAAAUUGAGUUUGUAAUGUCCCUUAUUAAAUAUGAAAAAAAACAAAAGCAUUAUUUAUUUAAUCCUGACAACCUCCCUCUCCUAAAACGAUAGAGCAACAGUUUGGAAAACUGACCCUGGGAGUUGAAAAGCCCACAGCAGUUUAAGCCAGUUAUAUGUUUUUGUUUUUAAUUUUUUUGAAAAUUACCUUCUUUUAGUCUGUAUGUGUACACAAGAGGUGGGAGCUGACACACAGACCUCAGCCUUGGCUGACGACCAGUGGCCUGAGCACUGUUGGCAGCAAGACCGUGAGAAACAGGGGGGCGACACCCAAAUGUCAUCACAGCUGCAAAACUGCUGAGCAUAAAGCCAAAUUACAGAAAUAUGUACCCCGAGGCCUCGGGCAAUGAAAACAGAGGCGCGUUUGAGCGUCUGCUGCCCGAGCAGAGCAGUGGAGGUUGUCCUGCGUUAUGUUUCGUGGGAUUUACUGGGAGCAGGGAACUCCAGAUUCCACAGCUGCUGGCAGACAUCAGGGUGCACGUGUGGGUGGUUGUGUGGGAAUUUAUAGUGGGUCAGCCUCGCUAUUAUCAUGCCAUGUUACUGCUCGUUGAGCCUGAUGCCCAAUGAAUGUGCUGUUCACAUACAGUAUGAGGGAGGGCCUGGCUUACAAUUGGCUACAUUGUGCGGACAGUUCUGUGACUGACAUGGAUGCUUGGGUUCACAGUAGCUCCAAUGUCUUUAUCUCUUGUGUGUGUUGUGACUUUUUUUUUAAGAAAUCUGCCCUCUGUCUUGUAUUUUUAAAGUUGUUGUGUGGACAGCAGGUUAUAUAAAAUCUUGGUGACUGUAUAUGUGCAAUAAGAGAUUGUUGGGCUGAAUGCCAAUGUGAAUCAAAACAUCUUUGUGCUGUUUUUUGCUGUAUAGCUUAACCCUAUCAUAUUGCGAGUCAUCUGGUGAUUCCCAACACUGGUGUUGCUAGACCAUAUGGUUGGUGUUACUAAAUCUGUAACAUGGACAGGAAUUAUUCCAGAAAACAUUAUUUCAAUAAUGGACAAUUCAGCAAAACAUUUUGGACAUUCAUCUGAAGCCACAGUUAACGCUCAGUAACAGUGUUGUUUGACAUGCAAUACUUAUAACCUUAAAUGUCUUGCCCUCGAAAAUACAUGUUCAGUGUGACCACUGUGGGGAAAGGGUCAAUGGCAGGUUAUGGUAGUGGCAACACAUCAAAAAAGACAAUAAAAUGCUCAUUUAAGAUAAGGACAAGAUUACGAUCGAUGUUCAUAAAACAUUAUGAACCCAUCUCGCCUGACACAGUGCCUGCUUUAGUAAAUGGCUCUGGCACAAAAAAAGGAUUUAAAAACCCACCAGUUUAGACUGUAAAAUACAGGAUCUACCUGCAUGAAUGUAGUUUUUGGUAACUUGGCUAAACUCCUCUUUGGUUUUUCCAUCCAUUGAUUCUGGCUGAUGUGCUCAGCCAAGUGUCAGAUUGCUCUUUUGAAUCAAUAAAUAUAAGGUUUUAUAUAAAGCUUUAAAGUGUGGCAUUAAGUUAUCAGGAUUUCAUCUACUUUUUACUUAUACCUUCUCAUUGAAAAUAGUCCUCUGAAUGCGUGACAUGAGACAAUUGUUAAAAAAAAUUACUUUUAUCCUAAAAAUAUGCUUUCCACAGGGCUUUGUUUGUGAAUGUGAAAUUAUCUUGAAAAUUCAAAACAACUGCUGUGGGGAAAUAGUAGGCAUGACUGUGUAUUUACCUAUACACAGGUGAGUGUCUGCAUGUUUAUAUAUGCAAGUGUACAACAGUAACACAGUACGGGUUGGUGUUUGUUUGUGCACGGAAAGGAAGCUGGGAAAGUUUGAGUGCAGCAGUAGCCCGGCUGCUGCCAGGGAGGUAGAUUUGUGGUUUGGAUGGGUUGGGGGGUGUUAGCUUAAGGAGGCGGAUGAAGAGAAGGGGUGUGCAGAGAGGGAGAGAGCGCCUGUGCUUGUGCCUUUCAAGGUGUGUUAUUUGUUCAAGGCUGUCCAAACAUUUACAGAGUGCUGGCAGCCCUGGAAUGCAGAGGCAGGGCUGAGGCUGAGAGCAGCAGCCGUGGGAAACCGCUGCUCUCCUCAACCUCUGCAGACUCGUUCCCCCUCGGGCAGAGUGUCAACACAGACUGUGCCAGAGAUGUGUGGGCCUGAUAGUGACAGGUCCCGUCAGCAGCCACACACACACGCACACACUUACACACACAGAUCUAGCAGGCACACAGCCCGGCUCAUUGCCUCGCUUGUGGGCUGACACAUUAACAGAGGCAGAAGCCAGAGGCACCCGCCUUCCAGCACACGUUCACAUGCACACACGUACACAUACAUACUCAAUUGUUCAGACACAGAUACAAACACCUAAUUCUUUAAAUCCUUUGAAAAAAUACACAGCAGUGUUCAGUAUUUCACAACUGCAUGUGUAGCUUGAGUCAGUAAGAUCACAUACUUCUCCAUAGCCAAGUGCCUAUGGUUUCUUAGUAUCAUUUGGCUCAUGUGAUGUUGCAUCCUGCACCAUAUAAACUCUUCACCUUGUGCAUGAAUCCAGAGAUUGUUUCUUGCUUGGCAGCUGAGUUGAAAAUGAUCUUACCCUCCAUGAUAUUCCAACCUCACGAUCAUAAGAAGGUCAGUUUCAGCCUGACAGCGUGUUUGUUAGAUCUGUAAGUGUUGAAUCCUAAAAACAGAGAGAAUUUUUGAGCAUCGCUUGCAAAAUUGACAUCAUCCAAUGUUAAAACCUACCUUUACCUGCCAGACAAUGACUGGGGGAAAAUUUUGGAUCUAUUGUUGGUCUAAAGUAUACAGACAUACAGUGUAGACACCAGAGGCGACAGCUCUCUGUAUAUAGUUUUAAAACAAAAUAUUUGCACCUAUGUAUGUAUGUUAAUGCAGGUAUGUUUCUCACUCAGCCAGCAUAUGCAACAACAGUUCCGUGUGUUCAUAAAAGAGUACAGUGUCGCACAGAUUUAGUGCCAAACCUGAAACAGCAGUAUGUCACUACAGCAGAUUUACCUUUGACACUUUAAUGUACUCUGCUGCAGGGGCAUGUCAAGAUUUUGCAGGGGCGGCAUGUUGUAAGAGAACAUGCACACGCACAUAAUUAGCAUUUUAUUUGGCUUUUAUGUCAUAUCAUUAUCAUAUCUACCGGCAGGCUGUUGCCUAACAACCCAAAUAGUUUAUCUUAAAACUCCUGUAAGAAACUUACAGUUCAUGUCAACUCUGGUGCCCUUUAUUGACAAAGCAGUCUUUGCUUGUCUUGUCCUUUCCAUGCUUAAGUAGUGACUUUCAACAAAAACAUCUCACUCUGCUGACUUUUGACAGUCAGACUUAUCAUUCAUUAUGAUUAUUGAUGUGGAAAUUGUAAUAACAGGGCUGUUUCUUCAGCUGCUUGGCUGCCACCUCCCCUUUGGCACUAGUUUCAGGUAUUAAAUAAGAUGACACAUGACUCAUCAACUUUGCUGAUCAUCCUGAUUGCUUUAAGAUACCAUGGAAAAGUAUCACUAUGAAUUUUAGUCUGCUUCAUGAAUGUCAAAAAAAAACUUCUGUUCUCUCCCCUGACAAGCAAACAACCAGCCAUAGGCCCUUUUUAGCAGUUCAGCAACUGCGUAUUGACAAAUCUCCACCAUCAUCCUGCUGCUUUUUAUACUUACAGACUAAUAACCCGACCUUUAUGAUGAAGAUGAGACUUUAUAUGAGCACACAUAUGGCACUAUGUAAAGAGCUAUUGAUUAGGGUUUUGGGGUGGCUCCUGUGGUGCUUAAUAAGCUUUUAAGGUGGUUUAUGCCUACCCCCUGACAGCCCCUCCAGAUACGCCCAUACGCCUCUUGGCAUGAUUUGAGUCAUGAUGGACAUUUCAAGGAGAGAGGAGUGAGGAUAGCCAGUCCCUUGACCAAAAAUUAAACAAUAAAAAUCUGUUCUUCAUGUAACCUAAAAUUUAUUUCCUCAUGAUCCACACUUCAAUUGAAUACUAUAGGGAAAGAUCAAGGGUGAGUUAACCUAAAUUAUUUUUGUUACGUCACCUUAAAUGCUUAAUGUUUACGCUUGUAGUCUUUGGCUUUACCUGCCUCAAUCCGGGUUCGUGGCAAAUUACAGGACUUCUCAAACUUCUUCUGGAAGUACAAAACAGUCAUGCAACUUUUUGCUCUUCUUUGUUAAACAGCAUUUCCCAUAAUUUGUAGAUGGACUGUGAAAGUUCAAAAUGCUACAUCCCUCAACAUGUUUCAAUGAACCAGGCAUGUAGUAGCAGCAUAUUAGGAACCUGCAUUUUAAAACAUCUUAUUUCAGGAAAAUAGAGACAGUGGUUUAACAUUCAUUCACCUGUUAUUGCUCCUUGUCAGUCAGUUUGAGGUGACAGUAAACAGGUUUCCAGGUGGGGAUCUGUUGGUGCCAAGCAGGAGAUCAGCACCAUACCCUGUUAAAACCGACACCAGGAAGUGAGCUGUCACUGUGCUCUGCUGCAGAGAUAUCCUGUGAUAAGAGCUGACUUCAGGAAGUUACCCGGGAGUUCACGUUGUUCCCAGGUGCAGAGCAAGUUCACCCAUAUCGUGGUUUAGCUGCACUACAAUCAGAAAGACAAGCAGUCCCAACUGAGAUAAUGCAGGACUGACUUUUUGAACCUCACACCGACUGACACAGUUUAAUAAAGGGUAAAAGACAAGAACAAACUCAACCUUAUUUUUGUGAAUGCUGCAGGUGUGUCCCAAUAAAUGUUUGAUUAUGGCUUAGGUUUCACAACUGGAACUCAGUCCUGUACUAAGUGGAGAAACUAAAACUAUUUCUUCUCCCCCUUUCUCUUCUUUUUCUUCUUGGUCAAUACAUUUUUCCAUUCUAACUGGUAGAUUUAUACUCUUUGUAGACUUCGAGAUGUCAGAAGAUAUGUGGAAAAAAAGGAUCUUAGCACUCAAGUGGCAUAAGGGAAGUGUUUCUGCUGUUUUUGGUUGUUGAAAGAAUCGGUUAAGAAACGAUCACUGCAUAGACAUUUGAAUGAUUUCAUGACAUGAUCUGUAAAACGCCUCUAUUUGUGUUUUAGGCUUCAGUCUGACUGUAGUGCCAGCAGCCUUUUUAGGAUGGACAGUGUAAAAGAGACUGUUUUUCUUCCCCAGCUCUCUGUAAGGUUACUGCGAUUGUGAAAAGGUUUUGUGAGAACCUUCACGAUUUGAUUCAAAAGACUAAUUUGCCUAUGUAUUGGCAAAAUAUCUACUGUUUGUGUACACCUGUCCCUGGGUCGUGGGAGCAGCUGCCUGACACAAAGGCAGAGGUGAAAGCUCCCAAACACAUACACACAAGCUGCUCAACGACGUCUCACACACAUAUGAUACUUUAAGAGUUUGAAUGUAUGACAAAGCUGAGUGAAACUUGCGCAUCACCCCCCUCCUCUUCCUCCUCACACAUCUCUUUGUCCUCGUGUCUGGCACACACACUUACCUGCUCCUUGUGCCCUGCAGCCACAUACACCUGCCUGCGCUGCUGGAGUGUCGUGUUUCAGCGGUGACGCAAUGCCCAACCAAUGAGCUGCGGUGAGAACGGUUGAGGAGCGUGGUGGGAACUCUCCUCCCAUCGCUCUUCUCUCUACCUGGGAACCAGUGCUGCCUCAGGGAGGGGCCCUCACAGCCGCCCGCUGUCUCAAUGAACACCAAACAAAAACUCCAACCAACAGGUGAGUUACACGAGUCAAUGUUGGUUUUUCUGUGGUCUAUUAUUUUUCCCUCCCCCAUCUGUUUUUUUCAUUCAUGGCUGGCACACUGCGCUACAUUUAUGCAGGGUUGAAAAAAUAAAGAAAGGACAGAGAAACAAAACAGUCAAAGUGUGGGAACUUUUCUCGUUCCUUUUUUCCUCAUCCAAGAGCUUUUAUCAGUAUUAAGUCUGCUUACACAGGUAUUUGUGCACCUGUGGCACUGGAUUAGUGGAUCAGCUUCUUUAUUAUGUGUGGAAAUAAGCACUGCAAGUUGUUUUUUCUACAGAUUUUCUGACUCAAAACACAUUUAGUCAUUUGUUGAAAGCUGAGACUAUCAAAGGAAAUAGUUUUUCUCUUAAAUUUGCGUGUCAAUUGUUUGAGUUUGUUUUUUGAUGUUUUCAUUUCAUAAGAACAAUAUGCCAGGUUACGCUUGACAGAUGUUUAAAGGGCUGAGGUUUUUUUCUUGAUGCAGCAAAUCCAAUAGUGCCUCCCUCAGUACAGAGAAGAGUAAUGCCUUUAUGAAAUAACACUCACCUUUCCCCACUGCACAGUUGGUGUGUCUAACAUCAACUACUCAUUACACCAACAUUAUCAGGUUAUAGAGGUUUUAAGAGAAAUCACAUUUGCUAAAAUAGAACUUUAAAAAAUGAUCAGAGUGAACCUUAUUUUGCACAGCAUGAAUACAUGAUUUUGACUUUUCCCUCUGGAUGCCUUAGACCAGUGGUUCUCAAGUCCAGUCCUUGAGCCCCCCCUGUCCCGCAUGUUUUGGAUGUUUCCCCGCCCCACACCUGAUUCAAAUGAUCAGCUCGUUAUUAAGCCAUUUCAGAGCUUGAUAACGAGCUGAUCAUUUGAAUCAGGUGUAUUGGAGCAGGGAAACAUCCAAAACAUGCAGGACAGUGGGGGGCUCAAGGACUGGAAUUGAGAACCACUGCCUUAGACAGACAACAUUCACAAAGUUUUUUUUUUUUUAAUUAAAAUUUCAGAUGCUUUGAGAAAGAAAAAAUUGUUUUGAUAGUUGUUGUGUAGUAUUUUUGUCUUACACUUGACUUACAGCCAUGAAAUGCUGCUUAUAAUGUGUUUAAUGAUCAUAUAGUUUUAAUGAAUGAGUUCAUAUGGACUUUGAUUACUGCAGUCUAUGGUUUCCACUCUCUCUUCUCAGUUUCCAACACUUUCCACAGUCCUACCUCUCUCUCGGUCAAGGCAUGAAAGUCCAAAUAAACUCUAAAAACUGGUAAAAAAUAGCUUUAAUUAAUAAUGGAAAACCCUACAUAUUCUGAUACAGUAGGGCGUGGUAUCAAUCUGUCAUUAUAUACAGUGAAGGGGAACAAAGAUGGCUGUAACAAGCUGGCCAGGAAGGACAACACCACAUUAUCCUGCAGACCAUGUGCUGCUGUAUUUCAAGAGGAGGGAAAAAGUCUUAAUGUUUUAACACAACAAAGUGUUGCUAAUUUAGUAGUAAGUGUUGUAAUGAUUUUAGUUUCUUUAGUAUCUUGUUUUUUCUGCCAUCGAUUCUGCCACAUAGUCAACAAGAAGAGGGAAAAUCAUCAAUCUCCGACUUCAUGGCAUGCGCUCCUUUGAAACUACAGACUGCACCUAUGAAGAACAGACUGCUGAAAGGGAUCAUACCCUGGUUACAGAUUCUGGAGAACUUCUUUUGACUCAAUCAAUCUGCAGAAAAUUCUGACGAAUUUUCAACUAAACCAUCAACUGAAGCAAAAAAAGGGAAAAAGCAGAAAUCAUUUACAGAUACAAAAACCCAGAAAUUAAUCGAAUUUGAAAGACAUGUCAUGUGAAUUAUAAACGAAGGGCUCCUGGAGUUUCAUCUGGGACUUAUUCAGCAUCAAACAACCACACAGAAGACAUACAAUAACAUGAGUACAUACAGCCUUCGUAUAUGUGCCUGCCAAUAUGUGAGAGCAUGGACCCUGUUACCUCCAUUACUUUGAAUGGACCUGAUAACAGGAUAGGCACCUACGUGUGAAAUAAUCCUCCCUCCUCUUUUACAGCAGCCUCCCACAGUGACGACCAUCCACUUGACUGCCCAAUAAAAACACAAGUAAAAGGC